GCCAGACUCCUACGGGAGGCAGCAGUGGGGAAUAUUGCGCAAUGGGGGGAACCCUGACGCAGCAACGCCGCGUGCAGGAAGAAGGUCUUCGGAUUGUAAACUUUUGUCGCAGGGGAAGAAGACAGUGACGGUACCCUGUGAGAAAGUCACGGCUAACUACGUGCCAGCAGCCGCGGUAAUACGUAGGGGGCAAGCGUUAUCCGGAUUUACUGGGUGUAAAGGGAGCGUAGACGGCAAUACAAGUCGGAAGUGAAAUACCCGGGCUCAACCUGGGAACUGCUUUGGAAACUGUAUGGCUGGAGUGCUGGAGAGGUAAGCGGAAUUCCUAGUGUAGCGGUGAAAUGCGUAGAUAUUAGGAGGAACACCAGUGGCGAAGGCGGCUUACUGGACAGUAACUGACGUUGAGGCUCGAAAGCGUGGGGAGCAAACAGGAUUAGAUACCCCCGUAA
rnacentral:rRNA from 1 species